UUCCACCUGACAUAGGCACGACAAAACACCGAUAAGACAUAGCCGACCAAUCAGGCUCGCCUUUUAACCUAUGUCGUCUGUGUCUACCCGACAAACCCAAAAUUUCAACAAUCAGGCUACCAUUCACCUCUGUCAUUCGUUUGUCACACAUGAGAAGAAGAUUUAUCUCCUUUUCCUUUUCUUGAAUGAAGAUGGUUUUUUUCUUUACAGGAAAGGCUCUUAGAGAAAAAUGUGUUAGAUCAGAAAUUUAACCUUUGUAUGAAAAUACAUUUUUACUCUUGUCAGAUCCUACAAGAGAGACAUGCUUAUUUACAUUGCCUGCAGUGUAAUCCUUAAUUUCAGGAACUCUCUUUUCCUGCACCAUUGUUAGACGUGGCAAUCAUGUUUCUUUACACAUAAAGAGUCUACCCGAAAAUGAUGUUGAUUGAAUGCCUCAUAGAAUUACAGUAGAUAGCUUGACUUUGCCAAAAUUGUUAUUUACCAUCGUUAGGUUUCCUGUUACUCUCGAAAUCACUGCUUUUACUGAGUUACAUCAGGCUCAACCAGCAGCGAGAUUUUAUUAUAAUAUUGUUGACGUACGUCUAAUACUUAUGUGUAGAUUCAAACUUGCCCUAAGAUUUUUUUUUUUGUUAGAAAAUAUAUGGAACUUCGACAGUUCAUUAAGAAAUCCCUUUUGGUUUUUUAGUUAUGUGCGUGUCAGAGGUUCAAUUUACUCUUGCCGCUUCUUGUCCUAUUUCAGAUAUGGGAACUGAGACACCCAAGAAUGCUGCUCUCGAGGCUUCGGGAGCUUUUGUUCCAGAGUCAGCAGUCCAUUCAUCAGUUUGGGUGACAUCAUUAAUGAGUUGUAUGUUUCACUCGUCAAAAACGUCUGUAUUGUCCCGCAGCUUGAGGCUUUUCCUCCAACUGUUCCUAUGGAUUACUUUCAAGACAGAGUUUUAAACAAAAUAUGGGAAUCAGUGAACUUCACCGUGCUUCCAACACUCAUCCUGCAGCUCUUUGUAAAUUCUUUGAAAUGUGUCCACCGGUCAUAGCCAAUCACAGUCCUCCUGUAUAAAGUCCUCAUAACACUAUUCACUGUGCCAGAGCUGGGGAGCAUCUGGUUUCCUCUCUCAUUUGAUAAUUUACUCACAAUUUUCAGAAACGCAAUCUUGUGGGCCGCUAAUCCUCAUUGACUCAUCGGAGCUACCAACUUGAUUUCUUGUGUCAACAUUGUCAGCCGCGACAUUGCAACUCCUUUUCAGGCUGUUCCUAGGACUUCAAAUUGAAUGUUCGGUUCCAUUAGCAGUAAGUUUAAGUCACAUCGCCAUCAAACACAACCUCUACAGUCUUCUAAUUCUGUGACCUGUGCAUACACAUUUUUCCCUCAGUUUUCCUUCCAGACUUAUCCGCCAAAACGCACUUUUAAACGUUAGGAAUGAGAAAAGUGGACGAAGCUGAAAUGCAUUAGAAUUUUACACAAUUGUAAUGCAGUUUUAAACUAGUCGAGUCCAUAUGUUUUUCAUCCUGUUAUUUAACUGUAGUUGCUUGCAUAUUUUUGCUUGGUGUAGAAUUUGAUUUGAAAGUAAUCUUAGCCCUCCUGUAAUGCUGUAGAUUUCCUUGCCUGCCGAGCAAAUAACCAGGACUGUAAAGCUUACCUUGGCCCUUCAAAGCUGAGUCUAACUUUGAGUCUCUACCACCUCAAUUUAUGAGACACUAAGGAUCUCUAAUGGGAACAGUGUAGAGGAGUGUAGAGUUUUAUAUUGGGGUGGUGUUGGAGGCGUUCAAUUGCUCCAAUCAUCAUUUUUCACUCAACAACAUUUCCUUCAGAACGAUGUUCAUGAUCUAUUCAUGUGUAUUGUCAUGGCUAUCAAUUGCCAUCACAAUGGCAUAAUGUAUUUUGCAUUGCUGUCCUCUUUUAGUAGUUAAGUGAUUAGUCUUAUUUGUAACAAGCUGUGGAGAAACACUAAUGCUUAAUUAAAAUUCCAAACAUCAAGUCACUGAUGGUAAUGUAUUUUCCCUUGAGUGAAGUAUUGGAAUGGCUGAUGUGAUGCGAUCAAGUGUGAACUGAUGUGAUGUGUUCGAGUGAUUUUCAGUGAUGAGAUGAAUUUCUGCCGCACUGAUGCCUACCAAAAUGAUUUAAAUGUCCUUUUUUCAAUUUCGCUGUAGGAUCAUUUCCUAUCAUUCCUCUUGGGCGUUAUUGUUUCUCAAACCGUCUUAUGACCGAUCGCUUCUAAUCUCCCAUUUUAAGGAGAAUAAGAGAUUUUGUCCUCCCUUUCUGUCACAUGUCUUCGUAGGAAGCAUAGUGAGAAAUAAUGUAUCAAAUUAGUAUAGUAUUAGAAAAAUAAGAAGCACAAGAAGAAUACAAAAAUUUACAAUAAUGCUGUCAGCCAAUAAAUUUGGUAUUAAGUGAAA